GAUAUAUAUUUCGAACACGAUAAUCGAAGUAAUUCGAUCGUUCAUGUACAUUCUAAUCAUGUGCAAAAUGAUUAGAUUCAAUAUAAACAAUUAUUAGUACAACAAUUAUUAAUUUAGAGGGAGAAGUAAACGGUGCACCUUCUGACAAUUGUACCAUUAGAAAGGUAUAUACAUAGUUAAACAAUUCGCACGCCUUAUCACGUGCUGAUAAAUGUGCAUGUAGUGUGCACGUAUGCAUAUGCACAUGUGUGUGUACAUGCUAUGAACACGACGACAAGAGCCACUAUAUCAAAAGCAGUGGCGUAGCUAACGACAUAUUAGGUUGCUGCAUAAAUUCUGCCUGUUAGAGUUCACUUGAGGCAUAAUCAAUUUUAUAUGUGAUAUGGCCGUGAAUUGUCAAUAAAAUAAGUGUAAAAGAUUGAUGUAUGUGCAUGGAUACAAGAAUAAGAUGAAGUCAUUCUUUCCUUAAGUAGUAUAGAACUUGAUAUCGAGAGAUGUAAGGAACCUGAUAAAUGUAAGAAUAAUAUGAAAUUUCAUCCACUGAUGGCGUUUAAAUAUCACUGGUACCGUUAUCAAUACCGUUUGAUUUUGAUCGUAUCAUUAACCGUGAACAUAUCAACUACAUAUGUCUCUUAAAAAUUAAUAUAUACAAUUAAUGUGAUACUAAACAAUUAUGAUACUAAUUUGAUAAUAUAAUACUUUUAGAAAAGAGAUUUAAUAUUGUGAAUAUUGUUGAGGAAGAAUUUGAUCUCUGAAAAAUAUUCUAAUUAAAAUUUCAAGAAUUCCUAAUUUAA